rnacentral:lncRNA from 1 species
CAAGGACGCGCACGCGAGCGCGUACGGCGCAGGCAAGGCGCGGAUGGCCCAGGAGCCCCGCCAGAUCGAUGCUCGCGUGCCACGGCGUAGAGACGAUGGCGUCGAUCCCGGUGAUGAUCUCGUCCAGUAUUCCUUUGGCGUUAUCUUUGCGUGCACGAGUCUCGCCAAAGUUCCAGUCACUGCACAUCGCCAGCGUGUCUGAGAUGCGUGCGGCGGCCGUGCGCCAUCGCGCCUCUUCGUGCAUGCGCUCGUGCUCGUGCAGUCGCGUCCACAAUGCGCGGUCAUCACAGGCGAGGGCGAGCGCGCGGCCGGACAUUGCGCACGCGCCCACGUCGCGCGUCCCCAGGCAGGACAGGACGCGGAGGAGUAUCUCGACGGGUAGGACGUCGAGGGUCAACGGCACGUCGCCGUCGGCGUCCUUGCGGUUCUCUGCGGCCGCAGUGUCCAUGGCGACCAAGGAUCGACGGGUUUGUUUCUGCCUUGGCGGUCGAUGCCGGUUUUUCUUUUCUCAAGCGUGCGUGUAAGCAGGGCGACCAAUGCCUUUUUUUUGCUCCGCCUCUUCUCUGCCGCCUAUGCGCCUUGUCAAGGCGGAUGCCGCGUCGACUUUUCGAC